rnacentral:rRNA from 1 species
GAUGAACGCUGGCGGCGUGCUUAAUACAUGCAAGUCGAGCGAACAGACGAGGAUCUUGCUCCUUUGUCGUUAGCGGCGGGCGGGUGAGUAACACGUGUAUAACGUACCUAAAUGACGGGGAUCACCACGGGAAAGCGGCGCUAAUACCGGAUAAUAUAUUGAUCCGUAGGGGGCAAUGGUAAAAUACGGUUGUUGGGUCACUUCUAGCUGGAUAUCGGCCGGAUUGGCUGGUUGGUGAGUUCACGGCUUAUGAAGGCAACGAGGCGUAGCCGACCUGAGAGGGGGGUCGGCCACCUUAGAGGGUGGACGCGCACCAGGCUACUGCGGGAGGGAGCAGUAGGGAAUCUUCCGCAAUAGGCGGAAGCCUGACGGAACAACGCGGCGUGAGUGAUGACGGUCUUCGGAUCGUAAAACUCUGUUAUUAGGGAAGAACAAAUGUGUACGUAACUAUGCACGUCGUGACGGUACCUAAUCAGAAAGCCACGGCUAACUACGUG